rnacentral:rRNA from 1 species
UACAGAGGUCCCAAGCGUUGUUCGGAUUCAUUGGGCGUAAAGGGUGCGUAGGCGGCUCGGUAAGUCGGGUGUGAAAUCUCGGAGCUUAACUCCGAAACUGCAUUCGAUACUGCCGUGCUUGAGGACUGGAGAGGAGACUGGAAUUUACGGUGUAGCGGUGAAAUGCGUAGAUAUCGUAAGGAAGACCAGUGGCGAAGGCGGGUCUCUGGACAGUUCCUGACGCUGAGGCACGAAGGCCAGGGGAGCAAACGGG